AAGUGCAGCAGCCCGGCAGCAUCGCUGGUGCUAGGAGUGGGGUCGCUGACGUCAUGCUCUGUGGAAGGUUCCAGUUCCUAUCUCCAAACCUCCACUAAAUAGACCCGCACCAGCAUUCCACCUGCGGUGUAGCCUGACUCUCCUAUCCUCUUGGAUUCAUCUGCUUCCAGCCAUAGAUCCACCUGCUUACAGCAAUCAGCUUCCAGCAGAGAUCAGCUCUUCUUAAAGUGCCGGUACCCUUUUCUACAGAUUACCAUUUAUCACCGGUAUUAUUAUUUCACCGCUCUCAAGCUCCAUAUAUCAUUUCAUAUUUCAUCGCUCUCAAGCUACAUUUAUUAUUUAACUGGUUCCAGCCAGUAUCCACUCCGUGCCAACAUCAGUCUGGUUCCAGCCAGUAUCCACAGCAGCCGUUUUAUCCACAGCAGCCCAGCUCUUCCUGGAACACCAGCUGGUACGAUCCUGGGCUAUCUCCAUUGCUACAGUCGGGCCUGGUAAGGACUUUCCAACUAGAAGAUUAUAAGAACUAUCUCAUACUACCAGAGCCCUGUGGCCCUUGCCACCCUGUAGUACCCAGGAACUGUAUUAUUUCCCUGUUGAGUUUUAUGUUUUCUUAUUUGCUGCUGUGUUACGGAGUAUGUCAUAAUAAACAUCAUUGACUUUUA